AUUGAACGCUGGCGGCAUGCCUUACACAUGCAAGUCGGACGGUAACAGGUCUUCGGAUGCUGACGAGUGGCGAACGGGUGAGUAAUACAUCGGAACGUGCCCGAUCGUGGGGGAUAGCUCGGCGAAAGCCGGAUUAAUACCGCAUACGAUCUACGGAUGAAAGCAGGGGACCGCAAGGCCUUGCGCGAACGGAGCGGCCGAUGGCAGAUUAGGUAGUUGGUGGGGUAAAGGCUCACCAAGCCGACGAUCUGUAGCUGGUCUGAGAGGACGACCAGCCACACUGGGACUGAGACACGGCCCAGACUCCUACGGGAGGCAGCAGUGGGGAAUUUUGGACAAUGGGCGCAAGCCUGAUCCAGCAAUGCCGCGUGCAGGAUGAAGGCCUCGGGUUGUAAACUGCUUUUUGUACGGAACGAAAAAGGCUCUGGUUAAUACCUGGGGCUCAUGACGGUACCGUAAGAAUAAGCACCGGCUAACUACGUGCCAGCAGCCGCGGUAAUACGUAGGGUGCGAGCGUUAAUCGGAAUUACUGGGCGUAAAGCGUGCGCAGGCGGUGAUGUAAGACAGUUGUGAAAUCCCCGGGCUCAACCUGGGGAACUGCAUCUGUGACUGCAUCGCUGGAGUGCGGCAGAGGGGGAAUGGAAUUCCGCGUGUAGCAGUGAAAUGCGUAGAUAUGCGGAGGAACACCGAUGGCGAAGGCAAUCCCCUGGGCCUGCACUGACGCUCAUGCACGAAAGCGU
rnacentral:rRNA from 1 species